CUUGACCAAAUUACGUGCCAGCAGUCGCGGUAAUACGUAGAAGACUAGUGUUAUUCAUGUUUAAUCGGUUUAAAGGGUACCUAGACGGUAAAUCAAGCCUAAAAUUAAAUGAAGGGACUAAUUUACUAGAGUUACUUAUGAGGGGGUAUUAAAGUACUGCUGGUGUAGAGAUGAAAUUCUGUCAUACCUCUUUUCAAUAGAAAAACAAUGGCACAGGUAUAGGCGAAAGCAUCCCCUUAUGUGAUAACUGACGUUGAGGGACGAAGGCUUUGUGUAGCGAACAGGAUUAGAUACCCCCGUAGUCAAAGCAGAAAAUGAUGAAUGUCAUAGAUUAGAUAAAUAAGUUUAUUCUAUAAAUGAAAGUGUAAGCAUUCCACCUCAAGAGUAAUUUGGCAACAUUGGAACUGAAAUCAUUAGACCGUUUCUGAAACCAGUAGUGAAGUAUGUUGUUUAAUUUGAUGAUCCGCAAAAAACCUUACCACAAUUUGAAUAUUUAUAUUAUUUAUUGUUUUCUUUUUAAUUUUCUUCUGAUUUGAUUUUUCUAAAAGAAAAAGAAAAAAGAAAAAGAGGCGAUAUGAUAUAUUUACAAGCGUUGCACGGCUGUCUUCAGUUAAUGUCGCGAGACUUUGGUUAGUUCC
rnacentral:rRNA from 1 species